AUUGAACGCUGGCGGCAGGCUUAACACAUGCAAGUCGAGCGGAGACUUCGGUCUUAGCGGCGAACGGGUGAGUAAUACCUAGGAAUCUGCCUAUUAGUGGGGGAUAACGGCUCGAAAGGGUCGCUAAUACCGCAUACGUCCUACGGGAGAAAGUGGGGGAUCUUCGGACCUCACGCUAAUAGAUGAGCCUAGGCCGGAUUAGCUAGUUGGUAGGGUAAAGGCCUACCAAGGCGACGAUCCGUAGCUGGUCUGAGAGGAUGAUCAGCCACACUGGAACUGAGACACGGUUCAGACUCCUACGGGAGGCAGCAGUGGGGAAUAUUGGACAAUGGGCGAAAGCCUGAUCCAGCCACGCCGCGUGGGUGAUGAAGGCC
rnacentral:rRNA from 1 species